rnacentral:rRNA from 1 species
UACGGAGGGGGCGAGCGUUGUCCGAAGUUACUGGGCGUAAAGCGCGCGUAGACGGUCUGUUAAGUGGGAUGUGAAAUCCCCGGGCUUAACCUGGGAAUUGCAUUUCAAACUGGCCGACUAGAGUACGGUAGAGGGAGGUAGAAUUUCCUGUGUAGCGGUGAAAUGCGUAGAUAUAGGAAGGAAUACCAGUGGCGAAGGCGGCCUCCUGGAUCGAUACUGACGCUGAGGCGCGAAAGCGUGGGGAGCAAACAGG